rnacentral:rRNA from 1 species
CGAGUCUGCCUUGAAGAUCGGAGUGCUUGCACUCUGUGAAACAAGAUACAGGCUAGCGGCGGACGGGUGAGUAACACGUGGGUAACCUGCCCAAGAGAUCGGGAUAACACCUGGAAACAGAUGCUAAUACCGGAUAACAACAGAUGAUGCCUAUCAACUGUUUAAAAGAUGGUUCUGCUACCACUCUUGGAUGGACCUGCGGUGCAUUAGCUAGUUGGUAGGGUAACGGCCUACCAAGGCGAUGAUGCAUAGCCGAGUUGAGAGACUGAUCGGCCACAUUGGGACUGAGACACGGCCCAAACUCCUACGGGAGGCAGCAGUAGGGAAUCUUCCACAAUGGACGCAAGUCUGAUGGAGCAACGCCGCGUGAGUGAAGAAGGGUUUCGGCUCGUAAAGCUCUGUUGUUGGUGAA